rnacentral:lncRNA from 1 species
UGAAGCUUGUAGACAUUGAGAAACGACCUCCUAGAGUACCUCGCCCGCCUCCAAGAUCAGCUGGAGGUGGUAAAAGUACUAACUUGCCUUCAGCAAGACCUCCUUUACCUGGUGGUGGUCCACCACCACCUCCUCCACCACCUGGCGGUGGACCGCCUCCUCCACCUGGCGGUGGACCACCUCCACCACCACCUCCUCCUGGAGCACUUGGAAGAGGAGCGGGAGGCGGGAACAAAGUUCACCGAGCUCCUGAGCUUGUUGAGUUUUAUCAAUCAUUGAUGAAACGUGAAUCGAAGAAAGAAGGUGCAC